GAUGAACGCUGGCGGCGUGCCUAAUACAUGCAAGUCGAGCGAACAGAUGAGGAGCUUGCUCCUCUGACGUUAGCGGCGGACGGGUGAGUAACACGUGGAUAACCUACCUAUAAGACUGGGAUAACUUCGGGAAACCGGAGCUAAUACCGGAUAAUAUAUUGAACCGUAUGGUUCAAUAGUGAAAGACGGUUUUGCUGUCACUUCUAGAUGGAUCCGCGCCGCAUUAGCUAGUUGGUAAGGUAACGGCUUACCAAGGCAACGAUGCGUAGCCGACCUGAGAGGGUGAUCGGCCACACUGGAACUGAGACACGGUCCAGACUCCUACGGGAGGCAGCAGUAGGGAAUCUUCCGCAAUGGGCGAAAGCCUGACGGAGCAACGCCGCGUGAGUGAUGAAGGUCUUCGGAUCGUAAAACUCUGUUAUUAGGGAAGAACAAAUGUGUAAGUAACUAUGCACGUCUUGACGGUACCUAAUCAGAAAGCCACGGCUAACUACGUG
rnacentral:rRNA from 1 species